UAGGAGAGUGGGAAUGGUGUCUCCCCUUUAACCGCGCUGAUGCUGAUGACGCCUGCUGACGA
rnacentral:ncRNA from 2 species